AUAGGUUCCACCCAAAUUUCUCAUACAAGCAAAAUGAACCUAUUCAGCAUCAAGGUGGUCCACCAGGUUUUCAGAAGAAUUUUUCCAGGAUAGGUCCAUCACAAAUAAACCAAUCAUUGGCUCCACCUAUUCUUACUUAUAGUGCCCCUAUCCCUCAGCAAACUACAUCAUUGGAAGCCAUGAUGGCUAACAUGAUGAAGCAGCAACAAGACUUCAUCCAACAGCAACAACAGACCAACAUGGCUCAAACCCAGACUAACCAAUUCCAUGCGCAAGCGAUUGCAAAACUUGAGGUUAGUCUGAGCCAAAUAGC
rnacentral:lncRNA from 1 species